GCAGACACAUUCCAGCCAAUCAGCAGCAGACCCUCCCUCCCAGACCCUCCCACCUCCUGGACAGCAUCCAUUUUACAUUCAUUGUGAAGCUGCAUUCUUAGUGAGCUGUCCAGGAGGUGGAAGGGUCUGGGAGGGAGGGUCUGCUGCUGAUUGGCUGGAAUGUUCGG